rnacentral:rRNA from 1 species
AUUGAACGCUGGCGGCAGGCCUAACACAUGCAAGUCGAGCGGCAGCGGAAAGUAGCUUGCUACUUUGCCGGCGAGCGGCGGACGGGUGAGUAAUGUCUGGGAAACUGCCUGAUGGAGGGGGAUAACUACUGGAAACGGUAGCUAAUACCGCAUAACGUCCCAAGACCAAAGCGGGGGACCUUCGGGCCUCUUGCCAUCAGAUGUGCCCAGAUGGGUAUAGCUAGUAGGUGGGGUAACGGCUCACCUAGGCGACGAGCCCUAGCUGGUCUGAGAGGAUGACCAGCCACACUGGAACUGAGACACGGUCCAGACUCCUACGGGAGGCAGCAGUGGGGAAUAUUGCACAAUGGGCGCAAGCCUGAUGCAGCCAUGCCGCGUGUAUGAAGAAGGCCUUCGGGUUGUAAAGUACUUUCAGCGGGGAGGAAGGUGUUGAGGUUAAUAACCUCAGCAAUUGACGUUACCCGCAGAAGAAGCACCGGCUAACUCCGUGCCAGCCGCCGCCGUAA